rnacentral:rRNA from 1 species
GCAUAUCAAUAAGCGGAGGAAAAGAAACCAACAGGGAUUGCCCUAGUAACGGCGAGUGAAGCGGCAACAGCUCAAAUUUGAAAUCUGGCCUCGGCCCGAGUUGUAAUUUGCAGAGGAAGCUUUAGGCGCGGCACCUUCUGAGUCCCCUGGAACGGGGCGCCAUAGAGGGUGAGAGCCCCGUAUAGUUGGAUGCCUAGCCUGUGUAAAGCUCCUUCGACGAGUCGAGUAGUUUGGGAAUGCUGCUCAAAAUGGGAGGUAAAUUUCUUCUAAAGCUAAAUACCGGCCAGAGACCGAUAGCGCACAAGUAGAGUGAUCGAAAGAUGAAAAGCACUUUGAAAAGAGGGUUAAAUAGCACGUGAAAUUGUUGAAAGGGAAGCGCUUGUGACCAGACUUGCGCCGGGCUGAUCAUCCGGUGUUCUCACCGGUGCACUCUGCCCGGCUCAGGCCAGCAUCGGCUCUCGCGGGGGGAUAAAGGCCCCGGGAACGUAGCUCCUCCGGGAGUGUUAUAGCCCGGGGUGUAAUGCCCUCCCGGGGACCGAGGUUCGCGCAUCUGCAAGGAUG